CCUCUCCGAGGGAGACCGCAGGCUCUGCUGGUAAUUGGCCCUUUGUCCUUUCCUGCACGAGUCCCUAAUCACCGCCUCCCUGCGCUCCUCCCUGCGGCACACUUGAAAUACUUCUUUUCAGACCUGCAAGCCCAGCAAACUAAAAAAAAAUACCUGUGCAACUUAUCGGAGUCCUGUUUGGGGAAGACGAAAAUAACCCUUCCCAGAAGCAAUUAUUUACUAAGACCGUCCUUCCCCCUCCAGCCCAGCUUGUCUCCUGUUGGAUGGCUCACUACUGAGAGUGUUUUAGAGCAGCAAUUUCUGGAUUCUCUGGCAGACAGAGGACACUCACGUAUCUCUGAGUGCGUGCCCUUGCUUCUGGAGCAGGGGUGCGUGGCACGCCAGCCCGCCGCAUGGGGAAGAACAGACUAGAACAGAAUGAUCUAUGCCGUAAUGAUCAUUUUUUCCACUUUGUUUUAAAGUCUUCUGUCAACCUUUGUUAGAAUUCUAGUGCUAAAAGAGAGUUGAAACCCAUCUCAUCAACCCAUUGCCCUAGGAUUAUACUGAGGAAAUAAAAUUCACCACGGUCAGCACUGCUUCUGCGGUGGGUCCUUUAAGGGGACAUGAAGAC
rnacentral:lncRNA from 1 species